rnacentral:rRNA from 1 species
GACGAACGCUGGCGGCGUGCCUAAUACAUGCAAGUAGAACGCUGAAGCUUGGUGCUUUGCACCGAGCGGAUGAGUUGCGAACGGGUGAGUAACGCGUAGGUAACCUGCCUGGUAGCGGGGGAUAACUAUUGGAAACGAUAGCUAAUACCGCAUAAUAGCAGUUGUUGCAUGACAACUGUUUAAAAGGUGCAAUUGCAUCACUACCAGAUGGACCUGCGUUGUAUUAGCUAGUUGGUGGGGUAACGGCUCACCAAGGCGACGAUACAUAGCCGACCUGAGAGGGUGAUCGGCCACACUGGGACUGAGACACGGCCCAGACUCCUACGGGAGGCAGCAGUAGGGAAUCUUCGGCAAUGGACGGAAGUCUGACCGAGCAACGCCGCGUGAGUGAAGAAGGUUUUCGGAUCGUAAAGCUCUGUUGUAAGAGAAGAACGAGUGUGAGAGUGGAAAGUUCACACUGUGACGG